rnacentral:rRNA from 1 species
GACGAACGCUGGCGGCGUGCUUAACACAUGCAAGUCGAGCGGAAAGGCCCUUCGGGGUACUCGAGCGGCGAACGGGUGAGUAACACGUGAGUAACCUGCCCCAGACUUUGGGAUAACCCUCGGAAACGGGGGCUAAUACCGGAUACGACACAGCUUCGCAUGGGGUCUGUGUGGAAAGUUUUUCGGUUUGGGAUGGGCUCGCGGCCUAUCAGCUUGUUGGUGGGGUGAUGGCCUACCAAGGCGACGACGGGUAGCCGGCCUGAGAGGGCGACCGGCCACACGGGGGCUGAGACACGGACCAGACUCCUACGGGGGGCAGGAGGGGGGAAUAUUGCACAAUGGGCGGAAGCCUGAUGCAGCGCCGCGGGGGGGGGGAUGACGGCCUUCGGGUUGUAAACCUCUUUCGGCAGGGACGACGGGUAAGUGACGGUACCUGCAGAAGGAGCGCCGGCCAACUACGU